UGCCUCGUAGCUCAGUGGUAGUAGCGAUCGCCUGUUAAGCGAAAAGUCGCAGGUUCAAAUCCUGCCGAGGCAGCCA
rnacentral:tRNA from 2 species